GAUGAACGCUGGCGGCGUGCCUAAUACAUGCAAGUCGAGCGAACAGACGAGGAGCUUGCUCCUCUGACGUUAGCGGCGGACGGGUGAGUAACACGUGGAUAACCUACCUAUAAGACUGGGAUAACUUCGGGAAACCGGAGCUAAUACCGGAUAAUAUAUUGAACCGCAUGGUUCAAUAGUGAAAGACGGUUUUGCUGUCACUUAUAGAUGGAUCCGCGCCGCAUUAGCUAGUUGGUAAGGUAACGGCUUACCAAGGCGACGAUGCGUAGCCGACCUGAGAGGGUGAUCGGCCACACUGGAACUGAGACACGGUCCAGCCUCCUACGGGAGGCAGCCGUAGGGACUCUUCCGCAAUGGGCGAAAGCUUGACGGAGCAACGCCGCGUGAGUGAUGAAGGUCUUCGGAUCGUAAAACUCUGUUAUUAGGGAAGAACAAAUGUGUAAGUAACUAUGCACGUCUUGACGGUACCUAAUCAGAAAGCCACGGCUAACUACGUG
rnacentral:rRNA from 1 species